GCUGGGUGUGGUGGCUCACGCCUGUAAUCCCAGCACUUUGGGAGGCCGAGGUGGGUGGAUCACUUGAGGUCAGGAGUUCGAGACCAGCCUGACCAACAUGGUGAAACCCCGUCUCUA
rnacentral:sRNA from 1 species